GAGGCCGGCGUCGGCCCAUCGCCCCCGUGACCCGCGGACGUGGCCCCCACCGGCUCUUCCUUCAGUGGACGCUUCUCUGGCCUGCCGCGUGCAGCUGGCCCCCCGGAGAGCAGCGGGCGGGGUGCGCGGUCGCCUGUCUGGGCGCGGACAUGUGUCCCCAAGAACGGGAUCCAGGAGGACAAGCCCUUGUUCGCUUCUGCAGGGGCUGCCCCUCGGAACGCCUUUCGGCUUCUGAGAAACACGGUCGUGACUCCACAUCGUGUCCAGCCAGCCCUGCUGUGGCCGGCGCUGGCCGGGCCCGCCCUCCCCGCGGGUCUUCUGCGGCGCCCACCGGCCCCCUGGACUACCUGAUAAAGCCCGACCAUGGGGGGACUCGUAUUCCAGCGAACUCGCCUGUCUGGUGUUCCCCGCGGUUGCGCAACAUGGACACGGGCCUGCUGGCCCAGAGCAGAGUGCUGUGAGGCCACGGGGUGAGUGCCCUCCAGAUCUGGCUGAGCCGGUCACGCUGCGGAGCACGUGCACCUAGGAAGAGAGAUGUUUCGAGAGGCCACUCCGGGCCAACCAGGACCAGGCCAGGGGGACCAACAGUGACGGUCCCUGCCCUCCAGCUUUGGUCUGUUCAUCCCGGCAGAUGCUUUGGCCUACAGCUCCGCUCUGGUCCUGAGCCACAGGUAGAAGAGCAAGAAGUUCAUCGACAGAUGAGGAGGGCAGGAAAGCUCUCCGAGCCAGGGGUCCGAGUGGGCAGGCCAGACCUCGCGGUCUGGAGUUGCGGAGAACGGCCUAGCUAGUGACCCUGCUCUCUGUGCCCCAGGCACCCAGGCCAGGGCUGGGCACGCCAGGGCGUGGACUGAAGCCUCAGGAUGCGCUCGCUGGGCAGGCGGCUGCUCACUUACUGGGUGAUGUGGAAGUGGGACAGCUCCAGCCGCUGGUCAGCGCACUCGAUGAUCUCCUCGUAGGACAUCACCUGGAAGGACAAGCCGGGCGAUCGUAUGCCGCAGGGCUUGCUGUUCCCUUUGUAGGGCCCUCUGAGGGAAGCCCGUGACCUGGCUCCUGUGGGGGCUCCGCCAAGGCCCUGCCUCCUGUGUGGGAGCAGCGGUGGCAGCGGCAGCCCAGGCCCGCAGCGCCGACCUUAUUGUCCCACAUGAGCUGCGUGGUGGGGGCUCAGUCCUCGUGGGUAAUGUCGCCAGUGUUUAACAGAUACAUACACAAUCAUUUGGAACAGAAUGCCGAUUUUUAGUCAUUUAAAAAUGACAGACUUGACUUUUAAAAACAAAUUAUGUCGGUGAGUCUCUGUAGCACAGUGGGUCUAACUGGGUUGUAACUGUCUAGAAGCCCAGAUAUUUCCAUUUCCUUCUAACAUGUUUUCCUGUUUCAGUUUCCUUAUUCUUUCCUACAAUUGACAUAUAACACUGUGGAAGUUUAAGACACAGUGUGUUGAUCCGAUGCACUUAUUUAUCACACAAUGAUCACUGCGUGGCUUUAGGCAACACCCCCAAAGAGCCCCCCACGGUGGAUGGCACUGGCCCCAGCUGCCAUAGGACUGUGGCAGCCUGGGCGACUAUAUAAAUGUCUUCCCUUGCCAGGCAGCACACACCUUCUUAUUUCUGCAUUUUGAAAGAAAAAGUCUGGUCAGUAGGAACAAGCCAGGUGGGGCGGCAUCAAGUCUCCCAAGCUGGCAGCGCAAACUUAGCUCCACGCUCUGAGGAUGAAUGCCACGGCUAGACGCCCGGAGUGAGCUCAUUAACGAGCACAUAUUUUGAGUCAGACCUUGACUCUGUAGAGGGAACAGCACUGUGUGUGAGAAUGCUAGCAGAGCGACAGAAGAGCCUCUUACCAGGAAGUCAAGCUCUUCAUUUAGGUUGUGGUACUUGUCCAGUUUGGCCCCUAGCAGGACCGGGAUGUCGCUGGCACUGCUGGCCUCACCCAAAUCAAAGUCGGUAGUCUGAAAUUAAAGACAUUAAAAUAUAUAAUACAUCAGAUGGGAACAUACGUUAAGCAUGUUAUUUUACAGUAAAUACUAGUUUAAUUAGCAAAGGGCUCUUCAGUAGCUGAUGAAUAGGAAUGUGGAACUCAGCUAGGUAGAGUUCAAAAAUUUACCAAAGGAACAGAAAAAUCUGAAGUUGUGAUUUUGUAUUUGUUUUUAAAGAGAGUACCUAAAAAAUGUGACUAUCCUGGGACUUUUAUCCUUACGCUGUUGCUGGGACGCCACACUCUGACUGGAGUGUGUCUGGUAAACCAUCCCUGCGCCCCUGGGUGAGUCCCACUUGAUGACAAUGACAAGCCAGGGUGUCCCACUGCCCUGGAUUUGCAGUUUUGCUGAGGUGUUUGUGUCACAAGAAGAGGGCAGUAAACAGUGUCAAACUCACCUCAAUAACCUGGUCUUGAAAUGCUUUUUCAUUAGCAAUCAGCUCUCUAAAGGUUGUGAUUCUGUCUUUAUGUUUCAGUAGCUGGGGGAAAAGCACGUGAUCGUUCAGGUGAGGGCAGGAAAUAAACGCGUCAGUCACAUCUAAAACACCAUCCAUGAGCCAUGUCCAGCGACCUCCAGCCCCAGGAGCACACCCGUGCAGGAAGACCCCGCCGCAGGCCUGCGGCUGCCCCUCAAAGGUGGCCAGGCUGCCCUGUGGGCAUCUGGGAAUGGGUCACUGGGUCCAGCCAUGACAGUGUGUGCUGAGUGUGAAGGACCAGCAGGUCCUCAGCUGAGGCGGGCUUGGUGACACCAGGGCGUCAUCUCCCUGACCAUGGUUAGCUGUUUUCACAGCCAGUUAUUACAGUUCUUUAAAGGGGAAAAAAAAAACCAGCUUUUUCCAGAGGUUCAGUGUCAGGACUGGUGACGCCCUGGGGCUAGUGGUUGAAGAAGAUUAAAAACGUUUCAGUGAAGCUGAAAGGAGAAGGAAAACCCACAAAUGAAACCAUCCAACCUCUGCAAACCAAUGCCCACACUCAAGGAGGCCGGCGAGAGCAGCCAAGGAGCAAGUGAGGUCGGAGCAUCCUGGCAUUCUUCGGGCACAGGUUCAGACACGUCACAAGGAGGACAAAGAAUCCAGAGGCCUGUGUAAGUAAAAGGCUGGACAAAUGGCCCCUGUGACAGAUUCUGAUCACUGACACUCAAACUCUGGGAUUUCAGGACCCCCCGAUGCGCACGUGUGGUUUACGAGGGGUCUACCCCAGCAGCGUUCAGAGGACCAGAAAUAACAACUGAGAACAUUUAGGAAUCUGGUUGUGAAUUUCCUUAAAUAAUAGACCCAUUAUGUGUCACCAGGAAUUACACUUUUUUUUUUUAAUUGUAAAAUCACCACAUUUUCUAGAAUAAACUAUUAAAGAAAAGGGUAGCCAUGUUUUACAUUUUUGGGACAUGUUUUUAAUCCUGGCUCAAUGGGAGACAGCAGGAGUCUCAAACUUGCUUCACAUACUCCAUCGACCAUGAAAGCAAAUAUGUCAGCGUGUGCCUCGUAGUUUCUGGAAGACUCCACAGCACACUUAAUGAAAGAAUGAGAGUGGCAAAAGGCAUGACCUCUUAAUAUUAAUUAAAACACUUUCAACCUUGUAGAUACUCCCAGACCACGCUUUGAGAGCCAAUCAAAAGUAUAACUCAAAGUCGACUAACAUUGGAGGGUGAGGGGGCAGGUAUUAAAGAAAUUGAUUACUCAAGAUAAAGAACUUUUUAAAAGGAAUGCAAGGAAAUCAUUUCACUGUGCUAAAUGCAGUUAACCUACUGACUUCUGCAAGGAGCUGCAGAGGCGCAGGUGUGGGGCCCCCACCCCAGGUUCACUGCCACGGCCACAGGGCAGUCACGGGAGCCACAAAUGGCUGCCUUCCCUCCACGUGGGCAGGUGUGGACCACUUCCCCACACCUCUCUCCCCACUCUCUCACACUUUUUAAAAAAACGUAUCCUAGCUUUGUGCAGUGGCAGUAUCGUAGCCAAUGAGGUUUAUCCAAGGCGUGAUUAUUGCUAAUAAAAAGAACAUA